AGCAGCCGCGGUAAUUCCAGCUCCAAUAGCGUAUAUUAAAGUUGUUGCAGUUAAAAAGCUCGUAGUUGAAUUUCGGGAUCAAAUUGUCGGUCGUGCCUCGGUACGUACUGGUAUUAUUGGUUCCUCCCUUCUGACGAACCACGAUGUCAUUAAUUUGGUGUCAUGGGAAAUCAGGACUGUUACUUUGAAAAAAUUAGAGUGUUUAAAGCAGGCUCGCGCUUGAAUACAUUAGCAUGGAAUAAUGAAAUAGGACGUUUGAUUCUAUUUUGUUGGUUUCUAGGAUCGACGUAAUGAUUAAUAGGGAUAGUUGGGGGCAUUAGUAUUCAAUUGUCAGAGGUGAAAUUCUUGGAUUUAUUGAAGACCAACUACUGCGAAAAGCAUUUGCCAAGGAUGUUUUCAUUAAUCAAGAACGAAAGUUAGGGGAUCGAAGACGAUCAGAUACCGUCGUAGUCUUAAACCAUAAACUAUAGCCGACUAGGGGAUCGGGAUGAUGUUAAUUUUUAAUGUACUCAUUCGGCGC
rnacentral:rRNA from 1 species